rnacentral:guide_RNA from 1 species
AAAUUUAUAAAACAAACGAUUACUCAUAGAUGAUAGAUUAUAAUG